AUCCGUAUGGCUUUUUGCUCAUUGGUUCUUGCUUUUGCGACUGCGUCAACUUCUGUUUACCUGCACCUGUCACCGUCUUUUUCAUUACAGAUGUAGGGAAAUAUUGUGCGCUCUUCCAGCUAAUUUUAGGAAAAUUGGAAACAAAUGAAAAAUGAACACUUCUAGCUUGUCAUCAAAUUUGGGAUCUACUCCAAGCCCUCGAAUUCAAGAGACUGAAAAUUCAGAACCAUCUAAUACCAGCAAAUUUUUAAUUCAUAUUAAGUCCGAUCUUCAAAUGCAAAAGCAACAAAAACGCAUGAAUCGUGAACUCCAUAACAAACGAAUACAAUCUCUACGGAAAGAGUUGGAAUACUUGAAAGCAACUGAAUGGAAAUAUCAACCGGUUCUCUAAAGCUUCACUUCGAACACUUAAUGUUUCAAUUUUUUCAACAAGCUGCUGAUAUGGAGAGGCAGGCUGUCCACCCAUGACUACAUGUCCUAACUUGCUGUCUAUUUUGGCAUCAAGUCUAGCACUUCGA